rnacentral:snoRNA from 1 species
CCUCUAUCAGUGUAACUAUGACAAUAAAGCUUCAUUGGAGUAUAUCCAUAGCCAUGAUACUUUUCAUCAUUUAGAGA